rnacentral:rRNA from 1 species
AACGCUAGCUACAGGCUUAACACAUGCAAGUCGAGGGGAAACGGCAUUUAGUGCUUGCACUGAAUGGACGUCGACCGGCGCACGGGUGAGUAACGCGUAUCCAACCUACCCAUUACUGUGGGAUAACCUGCCGAAAGGCAGACUAAUACCGCAUGGUCUUCGAUGACGGCAUCAGAUUUGAAGUAAAGAUUUAUCGGUAAUGGAUGGGGAUGCGUCUGAUUAGCUUGUUGGCGGGGUAACGGCCCACCAAGGCAACGAUCAGUAGGGGUUCUGAGAGGAAGGUCCCCCACAUUGGAACUGAGACACGGUCCAAACUCCUACGGGAGGCAGCAGUGAGGAAUAUUGGUCAAUGGACGAGAGUCUGAACCAGCCAAGUAGCGUGCAGGAUGACGGCCCUAUGGGUUGUAAACUGCUUUUGUAUGGGGAUAAAGUUAGGGACGUGUCCCUAUUUGCAGGUACCAUACGAAUAAGGACCGGCUAAUUCCGUGCCAGCAGCCGCGGUAAUACGGAAGGUCCGGGCGUUAUCCGGAUUUAUUGGGUUUAAAGGGAGCGUAGGCUGGAGAUUAAGUGUGUUGUGAAAUGUAGACGCUCAACGUCUGAAUUGCAGCGCAUACUGGUUUCCUUGAGUACGCACAACGUUGGCGGAAUUCGUCGUGUAGCGGUGAAAUGCUUAGAUAUGACGAAGAACUCCGAUUGCGAAGGCAGCUGACGGGAGCGCAACUGACGCUUAAGCUCGAAGGUGCGGGUAUCGAACAGGAUUAGAUACCCUGGUAGUCCGCACAGUAAACGAUGGAUGCCCGCUGUUGGUACCUGGUAUCAGCGGCUAAGCGAAAGCAUUAAGCAUCC